AAUAACAUUAUAAUCACUUUAUCAAAAUCACUUUAUAGUAAUGAUAAACAACAGCAAAUAUUCUAUAACGUAUUCCCAAUAUAGCUUGCACUCUAUUCAAAUUAUCAAAACUGUUUGGUUUUGGAGGUUUUGAUUGGAAUGUCUCAAAACUAAUGAUAAGCACCAGAAAAUAUUCAGUAGAACAGCAACAAUACAACAGUAAUGGUAAACAAUUUCACUUACUGGAAACAACGAAACGCUACAGGCUACAGCGGAACGUUCAGCUUUGGAAAAGACAAGUGGGUUAAUCAUGCACUUAUCAUCAUCAUUUACUAUGAAUAAUAAUAAUAAUAACUAAGGGAAUGCCAACAGUGAGCAUUAUUAGCCCAGCCGUCUCCCUCUCUCUUAAAAUGACCCUUUGUUUCUUCUGAAAAAAAAACUUUCUCCUUCUUAAACACGCCCCUAUUCCUAGUCUAAAGACGAAGAGAGAAAACAAGGAAAUCGCGAGGCAACCGAUCUGUUUCAGUAUCGCAUGAAGUUUUAAAAAAUGACCAACACAAAAAAAACGCUCCUAAUCCUUUCAGACUUCUAAAACUUCAACUGGAUCUAGCAAACGAUAGCAAAUCUGAACCUCAAAAGAAGGUCUACCCUAGAUCCUUAACCCAUUUCUCACGUUGACAAACAACAAUAAAAGAUCAGCAAAUCACAACAUGGGCAACAAAACUACACAAAGGUUACGAUGCUAAAACAAUCAAAGAGACAGAGAAGAGGAUUCGCUGAAAUUUCACAACUUUGACGGACGUCCGGUAUCCGUGAACGUACCUCGGGGGUCUAGCUCGAGCUUGUUGAGCUUCGGUGUGAAAAUCUCAACAAGUUCAAAACGGAGCUUUUUAAUGAGGGUUUUGGAGUGAUUUUUCCAGAGUAACGGCGCAGAAAUUCGGAUCCCUACUUCAUCCCUGGAGGUCCUUAUUUAUAGCGUUUUUGUACGAGGUUCAAUCUUUCCUCUCUUUCAUGAGCUGUCAAAUUAGUGGGAGAAUCAUUCCGUUAGGCAGCAGGAUUUUCUCAGAGUUGGUGGUGCUCCAAAUUGGUGUGGUCCCUCAAAUGAAAAGAUAAGAUUUUGUCUGUAGUGAAUCUAUCUUUUUUCACUUUUCACUGCGUUUUUACUGCUGUAAAACACAUGCUUGUCAAAUUAUUUACUCUUCUGUAAAAAUGGAAUUUUUAACUGAUGCUUGACCUUUAAUCAUUCCUUACAUCCAACGGCUCUCUAAUGUUAGUCCCAUUUGGUUAUGGAUGGUGACAGGACCGUUAAUUUGAGCUGGUACGCAUUCAUCUUGAGAUAAUACUUAGCGGAUGUCGGUUUUGUUGCUAUCACAGUGUGCUGUCACUAAUUCUCAUAUUGAUGUGAAUUGUUCUUCAGGUUGGUAAUUCGGACGGAAGCAAGGCAGUGCAUACUGAUUGAUUGAUCAAGGUGAAAUGUUACCUUUGUGUUGCAGGUCACAAUAUGACUCCCUCCUACCAGGUUCAUGAUGACUUGUGCAUCACACUUCUGAAAUGGUUAUCAAGGUUGUUUCCAUAUCAUGGGAAAAGAAUUCAGUCACGUGUUGCUUAUGCCCAGAUUGGAUCCACUUUGCGGUGCUUUUGGCAAAGUGAUAACUAUCAGAACGUGGAAGUCUUAUGACGGGUGGGAGGAAUUUCUGCCCUGCAAGGUUACCUUCCAUGCAUCAAAUCCGUUUCCUUGAGGUAUCAGGUCAUGGCGUGCUUGCUAAAGGGUAGCAUGUGGCUGUUAUGCUGUUAGCUUUGGUUCUGCAGCCAAGAUUUCUUGCCGUUUAAAGGGAUAGUUUGAUGACAGUUGAUGUUAGCUAGUGAUGUGGUUCUGCAACAGCUUUGGUUGGCAGCGGUAUUGAUGACACAGGUGGUGCAAGUGAGAAAUCUUGACAAGGCUAGUAGCUAUGUUGGACCUUAAAAAUAAAUAACAGAGAUCCUUCUCGUCAAUUGAAGGAAUUUCAAUUUCGUUCCUCUUCUUCUGCAUCACAUUGAACGGCAUCCUUCUUUGUGUGGAUUUCUUGCAAUUUGCUCUUACCAAUGAUUCAACAUGGCUUCAUGGCUAUAUCGCAGAUAUUGCUCAUUAGGCAUUUCAUGCUGGUGGUGCAUUCAAUGGCACGGUAUUGGUGAUUUUACCGACGUAGCCCAUGUCAUGACAGUUUUGGUACGGAUGUGACGAACUUGCACCCUUUCAAUGCAUUGGUUUGCUUUUGAAACGCAGGGAUCAUCACAGUUGUCGAGCCCACUCUCAUGAUUAAUCAUUGCUUACUCCUUUGAAGUCGAGUUUUCUGGAAAUCCGUUCGUAGAAGCCAAGUGUAUCUUGUCUGCUGAAGCAUCACUUUGCAAUUUUCGUUUUCUGGUGCUUAUUUCUUUCUUAGCAUCUGGUGGAUCUUCAAGAGCAUUUUCAGACGAGGGAUUUUAUGUAGUCAUGAGCUUCAGGUUCAGAAGAGUAACCAACAGCUGUAAAGGCUUCCUUAAGAGUGCUUAAAACGACAAACAGUAUCUACUUCCCCUUCCAACUGCUACUUUAAUAAUGCAUUGAGUUAUCAUCAACGUCGUCAUUGAGUAUGUCUUCAUGGCUUAUAGCUUUGUCCUCAGAAAAUGUCUCUGCCAUAUCACACGACUUCCCUAGGAUGCCGACUGUUUGUAUUGAUCUUCCUCUGUUGCUUCACAUGUUAUUUGAUACUGUCGAUCACAUAUUUUGCACACUGUUGCUCAAAUGCUGUUUACAUUCGCUGUUAGUGUAGGCAAACCUUUAUUGUGAAUUUCUGACAGGUUUUGAGUUGGUUUUGGACAGGUUAAGACGUCUUGUACAGGUGGAUGCACAACUUAAUGGGAAUGGACCGGUCAUUGAAGAUCAACAAUUAGAUGCUCUUUUAUUCAAAACUUUAAUCUUUCUUGACUCCAGUAAUGUAACAUGGUGUUUAACACGGUGCAGCAUACUUAGAAUAUUUAACUCACGAAAAAUUAUUACAUGCUUGUAAUUUCACUAGCUGUUCCGUGAUCUUGGGCACUUGUGACUAUUUGAUAGUGAACGCAGGUACAUGAAACAUUGAUACAUGAUAUUCAAGUCUUGGCUUCUGUUUCGAUGAAGCGGCGGUUCACAUGACGGAGACCGAGUUCCAGUCCGCGUCAGCCUGUGCAUAGAAAUACAUUUUUGGAAUUUCUCAAGAACAAGUGUCCUGCUAUUCUGCAUCAACUAGUACAAUCCUGUUUCGUUCUUAGGUGAUUCCUUGGAAUGUCCUGAACCAAGAGAAAAGCAUGAGACUCUCGUGGCCGAUCAACCAAGUUGUUUUAGUCAUGCAUUUUUGUCGGUUUGUAAUGUUUAUGUCUUAGGCUAUGGCUCUCUGUCAUUCAUGAAUCCUGUCAGUGUAACUUGUAGUUUAUGCCCCCUUAUCAAUGGAAUUCAAUAAUUUUCACGCGAAAGAAAAUUGUUUCGUAUUGUCGAACCAAUGGAUUGUAAUUAUUUUUGUCACGAAAUUUAAAUAGGAAAGGACUGCAUUUUUCUUCUUUAA